AAGAAAGGUGAUUGUUAUUUUCAUCUGUUACAUGGAGAUAAUUGUAGCUCUUAUACAUAAUUCAUGUAAAGCACUUGUGUAAAGACGAGUGCCUAGCAUAAAGUGAGUGCUCCAUUCCUGUUAGCUUCCAUCAUCAUCAUCAUAUCACCCUUGUCCCUGGCUGUAGAUUUGACAUAAAUUCCAUGGACACAAUAUGUAAAUCAUAUGGACAUCGUCUGAGAAGAGUCUGUCUCCUCUGGUAGCUCUUUAGGAUAAACUGAAAACUUCUGAGCCUGCUUGCCUCUGGCUCCUUCGUUUUAAAUCCUGGAAUUUCCAAGGUUACGACAAAUUUAGGACUUCCACGUGAGAUACAGGCAAAGAACCGUUCCCUCCUCUCACCAGAACUGAAACUCUGAGGCUAUGAGUCUGGAGCUUCUGGCAGCCAAUGUGCUUCCAUGAGGAGAAAGCCAGCCUGAGAAACAAACCUGGAAAGCAGAGUCAAGAGAGGAGAGAAAAGAGGGAUAAUGACAAGCCACUGGGACUCCAUGCUCCUUUGCUGAGACUUCUGAGAUAGACCUUGACCUAGGGACUGACUUCUCAGCCUGGGUACAAGGCUGACCUGCUUCUCCGAAGUUCCUGAGCUUUGAGGACCCAAUUGUAAAAUCAUUUUGACUCGACCAGACCUAAAGCUGGGAAGGGACACUAUGCAAUGGCAGGAAUACAAGUUUGUGGUGAGUUGGAGGCAUAUAUCUCUCCAUAAUAAAUGAGCAUUGUAUAAUAGGGACCAGUGUUAAUAGCAGAAGAGUGUUAGGCAGAGGAGUUUGGGGAAUUGCAUCAUGAGACAGUCUGGAUCUGAAAUCUGCUGGAGGAUUCCAAGAUUCAAGAUGUGAUGUAUCUCCCAAGUCGCAAUAAGCUCCCCCAAGCUUUCACGACUGCUAUAGUACAGGGUCUUGGCUGUAUUCUCAUUCCUUCAGCCAGCAGAAUGUCUUCACGCCAAAAGAUUUAGCCAUUGCUCUUUCUGCAGUCAUCUGGAGUCAUCUCCAGUCUUUAAGGCA
rnacentral:lncRNA from 1 species